UCUGGUUCGAGUCCAGGAUGGCCCAUUCGUGUUUGGGGGUUUAGCUCAGUUGGUAGAGCGCCUGCUUUGCAAGCAGGAUGUCAGCGGUUCGAGUCCGCUAACCUCCACUGACCAAACCACCCGAAAGCGAGAGCAACGGGAGAGAACUUGCAGGUGUGACGAUGAUAGACGAGUCGCCAUGAGCGGACUCUAGCUUCUUUUCAUACUGUACAACUGAUCAUUGAAUUGAUUGAUCAUUUGAGCAGCUGAAAGGACGCUGGGCUCCAGCAUCUCCAUUGGGGAUGCGGUGUUCGGCAGAACCUUGACAACUGCAA
rnacentral:tRNA from 1 species